rnacentral:lncRNA from 1 species
GCCCGUUUGUAGUCUUGUUCUCAUAACCCCAUAAUAACUUUCGUAUAACAUAUAAUAAUCUCAUGGAACUUGACAUGUUCUUCCAAAUAAGCUUGAAAAGUUAACUCAAAUUUUAGAAGGAUAACCUAACCUUGUUGAUAUUCAUAACAAGUUUAAGGUGACUUACUUAGUUCCUAACUUGGUUCCUAGAUAAUUUAUAAAAGAAAUAUUUCAAAAACCAAGUGUUCUAAUAGUUUACAUUUAAA